UGCCAGCGGUUCGGCCGGGCACUCUAACGAGACUGCCGGUGUUAAACCGGAGAAAGGUGGGGAUGACGUCAAGUCCUCAUGGCCCUUAUGCCCAGGGUCUACACACGGUGCUACAAUGACCGAGUACAAAGGGUUGCAAGCUCGCGAGAGUAAGCUAAUCCCAAAAAACCGGCUCAGUUCAGAUUGAAGUCUGCAACUCGACUUCAUGAAGUCGGAAUCGCUAGUAUCCCUGAUCAGCAGGCAGGGGUGAAUACGUUCCCGGGCCUUGUACACACCGCCCGUCACACCAUGGGAGUUAAUUGCUCCAGAAAUGGUGCGCUAACCCGCAAGGGAGGCAGGUCCUU
rnacentral:rRNA from 1 species